rnacentral:tRNA from 1 species
GGGGCUAUAGCUCAGCUGGUAGAGCACCUCAAUGGCAUUGAGGGGGCCAGCGGUUCGAGUCCGCUUAGCUCCAUCA